rnacentral:rRNA from 1 species
CUACGGGGUGCUCCAGUGAGGAAUAUUGCACAAUGGGGGGAACCCUGAUGCAGCAACGCCGCGUGGAGGAUGACGCAUUUCGGUGUGUAAACUCCUUUUAUAUGUCAAGAAAAUGACGGUGGCAUAUGAAUAAGCACCGGCUAACUCCGUGCCAGCAGCCGCGGUAAUACGGAGGGUGCAAGCGUUACUCGGAAUCACUGGGCGUAAAGGGCGCGUAGGCGGGUUGGUAAGUCAGGUGUGAAAUCCUACAGCUUAACUGUAGAACUGCACUUGAAACUUCUAAUCUAGAGUAUGGGAGGGGGAGAUGGAAUUAGUGGUGUAGGGGUAAAAUCCGUAGAUAUCACUAGGAAUACCUAAAGCGAAGGCGAUCUCCUGGAACAUUACUGACGCUAAGGCGUGAAAGCGUGGGGAGCAAACAGGAUUAGAUACCCUUGUAGUC